rnacentral:rRNA from 1 species
UACGUAGGGUGCAAGCGUUAAUCGGAAUUACUGGGCGUAAAGCGUGCGCAGGCGGCUUUGCAAGACAGAUGUGAAAUCCCCGGGCUUAACCUGGGAACUGCAUUUGUGACUGCAUGGCUGGAGUGCGGGAGAGGGAUGCAGAAUUCCAGGUGUAGCGGUGAAAUGCGUAGAUAUCUGGAGGAAUACCGGUGGCGAAGGCGGCAUCCUGGACCGACAUUGACGCUGAACGGCGAAAGCUAGGGGAGCAAACGGG